UCUGACAAGACAGAGCCAUGGGGCUCUGCAUUGCACUUCCCAGUGCAUUUGGCUCCAGCAUGGUCAGUGACUAUCAGACUAUGUCUGAUCCUGUGAAUUCUGCUGGAAUUCCACAGUAUCACCUGUAGGAUGGCUUUGCUCAUGUCUUUGGCAUAGUUAAUCACAAUCAGCUAUGUUACUCACAGAAAUAAUGUUGAUUCUGUAUUCAGAAUCAGCAGAAUCAGGUCAGGGUGUACACAGCUGGCACUCACUCACUCACUCACACCCUUUUCCCAGGCCAUGUGGCUCCUAUCUCAAAGUUCCCUGUUGCUCAGCUGUAUGAUUAUGACUCAUAUAUAGGUUAACAUUCACUGUGCCUCAUGGUAAUCCAUAUAUAUUAUUCAGUGCUGUUACUUCACCAAAGUGCUUUGCAGAGCAAUGAGACAGCCACAGCAAGUCAACAUUCAGUCUUUCAAGGGGAAAAAACCUCAUUGGUGCUAAACAGUUUGUCUCCUUAUUCUGCUUCUCUGCUAGACAGCUGCCAUUUAUUACUGUGGCUUUGUAUCCAAAUUACAGCCUUAUUAAAUCACCUAAUCUGCAUCAGUUUAUCUCCAGAUUAAGAGUGUAAAGGCAUCAGAAACACAGUUGCCUUUUUGCUAUCGCUUUCCUGAUAAAGAAAUACCAAGGAUGCAGGCAACACACGAAUUGUGGUGUGAUGUUAAAGCCUUGCUCAGUGAUUCUUGAAGUGUUAACUAGAUCAGACAGAAAAAAGCUGGGCCUGAGCAUAAGUGCAUGGAAUUAGGGAAAUGUCUUUUACAAAUUGUUACAAAGGCCUUAUUCUAAUAAGCAUGAAAAUUAAAAUAGAUACAAAUUGUAGUAUAGCACAUCAGAUUCAAUUAUGUAUAAAUGGUUUCAUUCAGAAUGUAGGGAAGAGCAUAUGCAAACAUAUUUUUCAGCUCUGUGUGAAGAUAUGAUGAUUGGGAGAGAGGACCAACCCCUGAUGAACUCUUUUAGAGUCUCUCCUCCUAAAAUACCUUCAGUGACUUCAGGAAUCAUCCCAAAAGCCAUGUCCAGUGUGUACCAUCCUGGAGGAUCUAGAAUGCUUAAAUGCUUGCUAAAUAAGUUUCAACCAUAAAAUCAUCCAGCUUCAUAUGAAUAUAGAGCUCUGCCUCAUGAAGCCCUCUGUCAUCUAUUCCCAGACAAAUAUUACCUUGUGGACCAUUACACACUUCUAUGGGAUUUCUGCAUGAAGAAGUGAUUCUCAGUGUAUUCUGCUUUCAUUUCAUGCUAUCUAAGGUUCUGUAAUUCAAUUAAAUCCUUUAAUCAGUGUUACUAAGAGAGAGCAAGUUUCCUCUGGUUUAUUUAAAUUAUUUAAAGUUUGCUGUUCUUUUACUCAGAGGUUGAAAAAUCUACAACUGGCACUGGGAGAGAUGACCUAGCAUGGCAACAACUUACAGGAAUCAAGAGAUGGCAUGUUUGUUAGUGAUCCAAAUGCUGCCUCAAAACGGAGUUAGGAUUUCAAGAAAAAUUUAUAAUCCUGAGCUUUUCCUAACCUUCAGACAUUAAAUUUCUAAAUGAACUGUCUUCUGCAUCAUGA